GACGAACGCUGGCGGCGUGCUUAACACAUGCAAGUCGAACGGUAAGGCCCUUCGGGGUACACGAGUGGCGAACGGGUGAGUAACACGUGGGUGAUCUGCCCUGCACUUCGGGAUAAGCCUGGGAAAUUGGGUCUAAUACCGGAUAGGACCACUGCCGGCAUGGGUGGUGGUGGAAGACUUUUGCGGUGUGGGAUGGGCCCGCGGCCUAUCAGCUUGUUGGUGGGGUGAUGGCCUACCAAGGCGACGACGGGUAGCCGGCCUGAGAGGGUGACCGGCCACACUGGGACUGAGAUACGGCCCAGACUCCUACGGGAGGCAGCAGUGGGGAAUAUUGCACAAUGGGCGCAAGCCUGAUGCAGCGACGCCGCGUGAGGGAUGACGGCCUUCGGGUUGUAAACCUCUUUCAGCACCGACGAAGCGCAAGUGACGGUAGGUGCAGAAGAAGGACCGGCCAACUACGUGCCAGCAGCCGCGGUAACAC
rnacentral:rRNA from 1 species